CACAAUUACAUGAUUGCUUAGAACUGUUCAUUUUACUUCUGUAGUUAGGAGGGCAAAAGGGUCCAGAAUCAAGAUGUGUCAAUAUUCCAAUAUAGAGUAUCUUUGGAAGGAUUUGCUCUGGUCUGGAGUUUGGUAUAUAAUAAACUCAGUAUUGGCAGCCUGAGAAGAAAAAUGGAAGUAAAUAAGUUAAGCAAGACCUUAAUACUUUGGCAAAGGGGCAGAACCUGGAAUAGGUGGGAGAGUCCAGCAGAGGAGCUGGGCUCUGGUUCAUUUGUUGGCAUUCUCUGUGAGCCCACGGGGGAAUCACAUCCCUUCUUUGGGUCACUCAAUUUCCUUACUAGUACCACUUCUAACACUCUAUGACUCUCCUUAUAGACCCCUUGGGUCAAAUUUCCUUGGUGUAACCACUCUGGAUUAUCAGAAGUGUGGAAAGGGUUAGAAAGAGUUGGAAAGGGUCAGAUUUUAUUUUUUUAAAAAUAGACUAAUUUUUGAGCAGUUUUAGAUGUAUACAAAAAAUGUAGCAGAAGGUACAGAGCUCCCAUGUACCUCCUUACACAUACCCCAGUUUCCCCAAUUAUUAACAUCUUGCAUUAGCAGGUACAUUUGUUACAGUGGAUGAGCCAAUAUUGACACAUUAUUAACUAAAGUCCAUUGUCCACACUAGGGUUCAUCUUCGUUUUGUGCAUUCUAUGGGUUUUGACACAUGUAUAGUGAUACACAUCUACCAUUACAGUAUCCUACAGAAUAAUUUCAUGGCUCUAAAAAUCCUCUGUGUUCCAUCUAUUCAUCCCCUCCUUCUUCCCACCCCAACCCCUGGCAACCAUUUAUCUUUUUACUGUCUCCAUAGUUUUGCCUUGUCUAAAAUGUCAUAUAGUUGGAAUCAUAUAGUAUGCAGUCUUUUCAGAUUGGCUUCUUUCUCUUAGCAAUACAUAUUUAAAGUUCUUCCAUGUCUUUUUGUGGCUUGAUAGCUCAUUUAAUUUUGGUACUGAGUAACAUUUCAUUGUUUGGAUGUGCCAUUGUUUAUCCAUUCACUUAUUGAAGGACAUCUUGUUUGCCUCUAGGUUCUGGCAAUUAUGAAUAAAGCUGCUAUCAACAUUCAUGUGCAGGUUUUUGUGUGUAUGUAAGUUUUUAACUCAUUUGGAUAAAUACCAAGGAGUUGUGAUUGCUAGAUGGUAUGGUAAGAGUACGUUUAGUUUUGGAAGAAGCUUCCAAAUUGUCUUCCAAAGUGGCUGUACCAUUUUGCAUUUGCACCAGCAUUGAAUGAGAGUUCUUUUUGCUCCACAUCUUUGCCAGCAUGUGGUCUUGUCAGUGUUUUUGGAUUCUGGUAUCUAAUAGGUAUGUAGUGGUAUUUCAUUUUUGUUUUCAUAUACAAUUCAGCAAUGACAUAUGAUGUUGAGCAUCUUUUCAUCUAUUUGCCAUUAUAUAACUUCUUUGAUGACGUGUGUAUUCAGAUCAUCUGACCAUUUUUUUUAACUGGGUCAUUUGUUUUCACGUUGUUGAGUUUAGACUUGAUUUUAUAGAACUCUUUUGCCAAUGACAUGAGGCUUAAACAAGCACCCUUGCUUGACCCUGGCUAGUGUUGUCCAGAGGCCCUCAUGGGUGAAGUAUAAUUGCACAGUUUAUGCAUACAUUGUAGCAAACAUAGCUUAAAGACUCUUCAUCCAGGAGCUGGUAACAGAGAAAAGUUGUCUAAGAGACAUAGUCCACUGAAAGGGGUCUUUGAAAAGGAGGAUUCUGGCCAGUAGAUCCAAAGAAGAAGGCUGGCAAACGCCACCUUAACCAACUGAUCCAAGUUAACAUCAGUGAUGAGACAUCGACAUCUUGUCCUUCUCGAGCACGUACAUCACUUCUGGGGAACUCUUUCC
rnacentral:lncRNA from 10 species